CCUACGGGAGGCAGCAGUGAGGAAUAUUGGUCAAUGGGCGCGAGCCUGAACCAGCCAAGUAGCGUGAAGGAUGACUGCCCUACGGGUUGUAAACUUCUUUUAUAAAGGAAUAAAGUGAGGCACGUGUGCCUUUUUGUAUGUAUUUUAUGAAUAAGGAUCGGCUAACUCCGUGCCAGCAGCCGCGGUAAUACGGAGGAUCCGAGCGUUAUCCGGAUUUAUUGGGUUUAAAGGGAGCGUAGAUGGUUUGUUAAGUCAGUUGUGAAAGUUUGCGGCUCAACCGUAAAAUUGCAAUUGAUACUGGCAGUCUAGAGUACAGUUGAGGUAGGCGGAAUUCGUGGUGUAGCGGUGAAAUGCUUAGAGAUCACGCAGAACACCGAUUGCGAAGGCAGCUUACUAAACUGCCACUGACGUUGAUGCACGAAAGUGUGGGUAGCAAACAGGAUUAGAUACCCCGGUAGUC
rnacentral:rRNA from 1 species